GUCGGUGCCUAUAACGAUGAGGGUCCACCCGUUCCCAUUCCGAACACGGUAGUUAAGCUCACUCGUGCUGACAAUACUCGGAGGGCAGCCUCCCGGGAAGAUAAGUCGACGCCGACA
rfam:Ruminococcus sp. CAG:177 genomic scaffold, scf74